GGUUCGAUCAUGGCUCAGAUUGAACGCUGGCGGGAUGCUUUACAUGCAAGUCGAACGGCAGCACGGACUUCGGUCUGGUGGCGAGUGGCGAACGGGUGAGUAAUGUAUCGGCCGUGCCUGUAUAGUGGAAGAAAUGAUGCGAAAGAAAUAAUAUCGCACAUACCUUCGGGGAAAGCGGACCUUCAAGUUCCUGCAUUACAGAGCGCCGAUAUCGGAUUAGCUAGUUGGUGGGGUAACGGCUCACCAAGGUGACGAUCCGUAGCUGGUUUGAGAGGACGACCAGCCACACUGGGACUGGAGACACGGCCCAGACUCCUACGGGAGGCAGCAGUGGGGAAUUUUGGACAAUGGGGAAACUCCUGAUCCAGCCAUCCCGCGUGUGCGAUGAAGGCCUUCGGGUUGUAAAGCACUUUUGGCAGGAAAGAAACGGCAUCGGGAUAAUACCCCGUGCAACUGACGGUACCUGCAGAAUAAGCACCGGCUAACUACGUGCCAGCAGCCGCGGUAAUACGUAGGGUAAGCGUUAAUCGGAAUUCGCCAAGGCAAGCGUAGCAGGCGGUUCUGGAAAGAAAGAGCGGAAAUCCUCAGAGCUUAACUUUGGAACUGCAUUUUUAACUACCGAGCUAGAGUGUGUCAGAGGGAGGUGAAUUCCGCGUAAGUGGUGAAAAUGGUGUAGAGGCGUGAGGAACACCGAUGGCGAAGGCAGCCUCUGGGAUAACACUGACGCUCAUGCACGAAAGCGUGGGGAGCAAACAGGAUUGGAUACCCUGAGAUUCACGCCCUAAACGAUGUCAACUAGCUGUUGGGGCCUUUCGGGCUCGGUAGCGCAGCUAACGCGUGAAGUUGACCGCCUGGGGAGUACGGUCGCAGAUUAAACCCAGGAAUUGACGGGGACCCGCACAAGCGGUGGAUGAUGUGGAUUAAUUCGAUAACGCGAAAAAACCCACCUACUCCUGACAUGUCUGGAAUCCCGGGGUUAUUUGGGAGUGUCGCAGUAACUGAACGCAGGUGCUGCAUGGCUGUCGUCAGCUCGUUUGAUGUUGGGUUAAGUCCCGGCAACGAAGGCAACCCUUUGUCAUUAGUUGCUACGAAAGGGCACUCUAAUGAGACUGCCGGUGACAAACCGGAGGAAGUUGCAUGACGUCAAGUCCUCAUGGCCCUUAUGGGUAGGUUUCACACGUCAUACAAUGGUCGGGACAGAGGGUCGCCAACCCGCGAGGGGGAGCCAAUCCCAGAAACCCGAUCGUAGUCCGACGGCAGUCUUGUAACUCGACUGCGUGAAGUCGGAAUCGCUAGUAAUCUGGUGAUCGAGCACAGAAGUCGCGGUAACAUGUUCUCGGGUCUUGGUACACCGCCUGCCACCAGGGAGUGGGAAGCGACUAUAGCGAAGAACAACCAGAGGCGAUUAUACGGUAGGAUUCAUGACUGGGGUGAAGUCGUAACAAGGUAA
rnacentral:rRNA from 1 species